GUAACACGCCAAAAAACGGAAGAAGAAGAAGAAGAAGAAAAUGCACACGCUGGAAAAGCUGCCACAUAUACAACAAUUUUCUACUUGGGGACCUUGAUAAAUGUAGCGGAGUACGAUAUGUGUAUGUCUUGAAUUGUAUGUCUUGACUUACGCUUUCUAAACUUGCUUCGUGAAGCUUCGAAAACUUUGCGAAUCUUUAGUAAACAAGUUCAACAACUGAACAUACCUUCGGGGGAAAAAAGGGCCCUCCGAAGGGGCCCACAUCCAUUCACUUCGUUACAAUAUGAUGAGCCACAUGGGACUUUCCUGUCACAAGAAGUACUGCACAAGAGAUCUGCACCUCCUUCCACAAGUACUGUACCUUCAGUGAAGCUCCUCCCACAGCAAUUCACCAAUAAAAGUUGGAAUAUUCCCAUCAGUGAAGAAGAGUUUUCAGUGACCGGAGUGAUCCAGAACCCUACAAAAUGAAACCUGAAGAUACUGAAGAACAUGGAGACCUGAUGGAAGAGGAGGAGGAGAGUGAAGAACUGAGUGAAGCAGAAGAAAAACAUGUCAAAACUGGAGUAA